rnacentral:rRNA from 1 species
ACGGAAGGCAGCAGUGGGGAAUAUUGCACAAUGGGCGCAAGCCUGAUGCAGCGACGCCGCGUGAGCGAAGAAGUAUUUCGGUAUGUAAAGCUCUAUCAGCAGGGAAGAAAAUGACGGUACCUGACUAAGAAGCUCCGGCUAAAUACGUGCCAGCAGCCGCGGUAAUACGUAUGGAGCAAGCGUUAUCCGGAUUUACUGGGUGUAAAGGGAGCGUAGGCGGUAAGGCAAGUCUGAUGUGAAAACCCAGGGCUCAACCUUGGGACUGCAUUGGAAACUGUUUAACUAGAGUGUCGGAGAGGCAAGUGGAAUUCCUAGUGUAGCGGUGAAAUGCGUAGAUAUUAGGAGGAACACCAGUGGCGAAGGCGGCUUGCUGGACGAUAACUGACGCUGAGGCUCGAAAGCGUGGGGAGCAAACAGGAUUAGAUACCCUGGUA